rnacentral:rRNA from 1 species
GAUGAACGCUGGCGGCGUGCCUAAUACAUGCAAGUCGAGCGAACGGACGAGAAGCUUGCUUCUCUGAUGUUAGCGGCGGACGGGUGAGUAACACGUGGAUAACCUACCUAUAAGACUGGGAUAACUUCGGGAAACCGGAGCUAAUACCGGAUAAUAUAUUGAACCGCAUGGUUCAAUAGUGAAAGACGGUCUUGCUGUCACUUAUAGAUGGAUCCGCGCUGCAUUAGCUAGUUGGUAAGGUAACGGCUUACCAAGGCAACGAUGCAUAGCCGACCUGAGAGGGUGAUCGGCCACACUGGAACUGAGACACGGUCCAGACUCCUACGGGAGGCAGCAGUAGGGAAUCUUCCGCAAUGGGCGAAAGCCUGACGGAGCAACGCCGCGUGAGUGAUGAAGGUCUUCGGAUCGUAAAACUCUGUUAUUAGGGAAGAACAUAUGUGUAAGUAACUGUGCACAUCUUGACGGUACCUAAUCAGGAAGCCACGGCUAACUACGUG